CAUGUCAAACUGACCUCUGACCUUUAUAAAGUAGGAGCUACCGUGCUGUAGAGUGAAUGUAUAGCUCAGCUAUAUCAUCAUCUAAGUAUACUCUUGUUUCCAGAAGGAAAAGGUGGCCUGCUGGCUAGAAAAGAGCUUGUUAAAGUAGGUUCAAGUAUUUUAAUAAAGACUAUGUCCGACGUUUGCAGAGUUCUUGCACUAGAAGAGCGGAAGUGCCUGUCACGUGAACCAUUACGUACAAGAUUGAUUCAAUUCUAUGGCGCAAUAUUAGUGCCAAAAUUAGAGUAUUAUUAUACGUAUUUGUAUUUGUAUUUGUAUUUGUUUCACGGCUGAUUACAUGCUGAAAUCACAGGCUGCUAAGCAGUAUCAACCCAUGAUCAACCCAUCAUGACCAGAAGUCUAAUUACAGCAUCGUGGACACACCUAUACUUUAGAAUUUGGCAGUUAAGUUACUGGCUGUGGACAUGGCUGGUCUGUGGACAGUACGAACAGUCGAACAACACAUUAUUAUUGGUAAGAAACAUUUUCUUUGCAACGAUAUUCACAUGUCUUCUUUAUACACACGUGGUUUCAAGCCUGUAACGGGCCCGUAACAGGCAUGAAACGGCCCGUGGAUUAUUGGCUGUGUACCGUAUUCCAGUUGUACCUUCUCAAUACCAGCUCUAUCGUCUCAACCCGGUACCCAGCUCUACCGUCAUCUCUCUCAACUCAACAAAGCAGGUUCUAUAAAAAUUGCUUUACCACAUAAUAACUCGAAAAUGGCAUCGCGGUGUCCUCCGUCUUCUCCACCGGCCAAGAAAAAGAAAAUUCAUGAAAGCACCCCUUGACACGAGUGCGGUUCCUGAGGAUAUCCAUCUUGAGCAAACACUUUCUUUUUGCGACAUGGCCGAAUUUAUCACUCUUCCUCGUUGCAUGAAAGAAACUGUGCUUCGGUGUAUUCUCAAAGGAGCGUGUGAGCAGUUAAUACCCAACAUCCUUGAAUCUGUAAGCAACCCACCAAGAGAUUCACUCAAUGAAAAAAUUAAGAGGUAUGAGCUAGCACCUAGCGGAGUGGCCGCUCACGAGGUAUUGACUGUUUCAAAGAUAAUUUUGGCUCAUACAUUUCAUCCAAAAUGGGAAAGUCCAAACGAUCUAAUUGAUUCGUUGGUGGAAACGUUGGGGGAAAUUCCCAUUGACGCACAACUGUCAACCAACCAAGAUGAAUCUAUAUCUAGAUUGAAAGCGGAUUUAGAGUGCCAUGCAAGUAGUACUCUUCUUCUAAGACAACAAGAAGCAGCCAGCUAUCCCAGUCUGGCUAUUUUGUGUAUUUAUUUUAUUCGAGUGUUAUCGCUUGAAUUUCUAGGACAUGAAUAUAUGUACGGGACUCAAUUUUCUGUCGCACACAAUGCUAAACGAGGACAAUCUCCACAUACGGAUUUGUGUGUAGUACUAAUUGGUUCAACUAUACCCAGAUUCUUGUAUAAAUGCAAACUGAAGAUUUCACCUUAUAUACGGUUCCAACAGAGCAAGUGCAUACUUUGUUUACGAUGGAUGGAUUUUUCAAGUGACUUUGAGAAAAAAACACGAUAUAAAAGCCAGUGGUAUCAAUAGACUAUCAAUCCAAUUUAAUCGUACUUCCUGGAAAGUUUGCUUUUGUGUACCAUUGUGCGUGUUCCCGAAAUACAAAAAUGUGCUGAAAAUUACCAACGAAAAAGAUCUCACUAAAGGAACCGCAAUAGAACACUACAUUCUUGCAAUUGACUAAACUCUCUUAUUUUAUUUAGGUUCCAUUAUCCUUUAAGAACAGUUACUGUACCCGUAUAUAUACAACGAAUCAAUUUCACUAAUACUUUAUUCUG